ACAAGCUUAUGGGCCUGAAAGCCACUCUUGAUUAUGUAGGCAUGUAUAGUCAUGCCCUCUCUCAAGUAUGUUAAAUGUGACACCGCAGGCAGGAUGCUCACAAGCGUGACCACAUUGGGCUGAAACGAUUCAAAUUUCAUGGAAUGGAAUGCGGAAAGGGCUUCUUUUGCAAGUCCAUUAUGCAUGUAUCCUGCAAUCAUAGUGUUCCAGGACACCUCAUCCUUAGAGAACUCAGUUUUGUUGAACAUGAACUCAGCCAAAGAUAAAUUUCCACAUUUGGCAUACAAGUCAAUUAGAGCAUUUUUCACAUGACAGUCUGACUCAAAUCCGUAUCUGAUAAUUUGACAAUGAAGGCAUGUCCCCAAGCGUACAUCACCAAGGGAGGCGCAAGCUGGAAGUACACCAACCAUUGUCCCAGGGUCUGGGUAUAAUCCAGAUAACCUUAAUUGGCAAAACAUUUCUAAUGCAUUAUAGCAGUCACCAAUUUGGGCAUACCCGUUAAUUAGAGCAUUCCAUGUCACUACCUCAGUUAGUGGCAUCUUAUUGAAAAUAUGAAGUGCAGAAGUAAACAGGUUGCACUUAGCAUACAUGGAAACCAAGGCAGUUCCCAUUGAAAUAUCAGAAUCCAUACUGGCUUUG
rnacentral:misc_RNA from 1 species